rnacentral:rRNA from 1 species
UACGUAGGGGGCGAGCGUUGUCCGGAUUUAUUGGGCGUAAAGAGCUCGUAGGCGGUUUGGUAAGUUGGAUGUGAAAUCUCCAGGCUCAACUUGGAGGGGUCAUUCGAUACUGCCAUGACUAGAGGUCGGUAGGGGAGUGUGGAAUUCCUGGUGGAGCGGUGAAAUGCGCAGAUAUCAGGAGGAACACCCGUAGCGAAGGCGGCACUCUGGGCCGAUACUGACACUGAGGAGCGAAAGCGUGGGGAGCGAACAGG